GGAAAACUCCCGUGCAGUGAUACCAUGUCGCCUUGCGGUAGUGAAGUUUCCACACCUCGGACCAGUUUCCUCUCCCCGAAACCUAACUUUAACUCAGGGAACCAGCGCAGAACGACUGCAACCUCUCAUUGAAGACGAAGUUCCAGGCCGACCGCGGUACUACAGGCAUUGUUUGCAGGAAACAGGAUCCCCCAUUUUGGUGAAGGGGGAAAUGGCGAACUUCGUGGUCAAUCUUCGUGUAACUACUUACACAUUUCGAAUACAAUCAUGGUGGUAAGCGUUCUGCCCGAGGGGGAAUGGUCCAGAAUGAGAGCAGAGGUGUGAGAGGAGGCUGAGAGGGGCACAAGGCGAGCCGUCCUCAGUGAAUGCAGGAACAACCAAGAGGAGCACUCCAUCGAGAAGUCUUAUUCUGUGGAGAUGUGUCAUCCAUGGAACCUGGUCUCUUGUUCCAUCGCCUCCCAGGCUUGUGGCUUUCCAAUGAGCUUGAAACUGUCGUGCUCACGCCAAAUGUUUUAUUGUGUAUUGCCUUGUGAAAGUGUUUUGUUAACUCUAUUGAUUAAAAUUGAUUAACUGUAUUCCCUCACUGAUGUUCUCCCCAGGCCAGCCUAUUAUGCAGACUCUGACUGCCAGGUCCGACAGGGCAGAGGGAGAAGAGGAGGACACAGAAACAUGGAUACUACCGGUAGCUUCAACCUGAGGGGGAAGAGAGAACACUAACGCCACAGUGGAACAUGAUUGCUUAUUAAUCUAGCAAAUAAGAUCAGGUGUCAUCAUUGUUUACCACAUGGUAAAUGUGGUAAACAAUGAUUUUAAUUUCCCCUGAGGAGAAGAAAGGAGGCCGUGGGCCCUCAAACUUUAGCUUUGUUUAAAAGCCUAUGGGCAUGGCAUGGGGUGAGGUUAGCACCAUAUGGAGAUAAGUUACAAAAGUAAACAUAACAGUUUCAUGAUUUUUCAUUAUAAAUGCUAGUGCUGUGAUAGAUGGUUUAGCAUGGUUGCUGUCCCCUCUGUUGUGAUGUAGGGAUGGGCGUGAUGCAGUAGGCAUCCCACCUAAGGCUGCCCAACAGCCUGUGGAGGUGGAGAAUCAGUGAGUCUCUCUCUCUCUCUCACACACACACACACACACACACACACACACACACGAAAUAUAGGAAUUAUAUGUGGGGGGACCAGUGAGUACAGCACACACCACAACUGAACACAUUUUGUGGGUAAUAACAUUGAUUGAUACUGGGAAGAUGCACAGUGCAAGAGGUGUAUAAUUACAUUUUUAGUGGUGGUAAUGUGUGUAUUAUAUAUCCCUCCCAUUCAUCACAGAGCAGAGCAGUUUUAUUUUUAAGUGAACAUGGCUGGUAAUGGUAAAUAAAAUACGUUUUAAUAAUAAAACAAAGUGUUAUGGAACGAAAUGCAGACAAGAAAAUAACAACAAUUACAAGACAACGAUAAAUUUACAAUUUUGUGAGGUAAAGAAACCUCUUUCUAGAAGCAUGAAAUAAAUCUGUAUUCGAAUCCUAUCCUAUAACACCACUUAUGUACAUACAGUUGAAGUCGGAAGUUUACAUACCGUCACGACUUCUGCCAAAGUCGGUCCCUCUCCUUGUUCGGGCGGUGUUCGGCGGUCGACAUCACCGACCUUCUACCCAUCACUGAUCCAUUUUUCAUUUUCCAUUGGUUUUGCCUUGUCUUCCUUCACACCUGGUUCCAAUUGCAUGUUGUGUAUUUAACCCUCUGUUUCCCCUCAUGUCCUUGUCGGAGAUUGUCUAUUGUAAGUGUUUGUGUACGUCUGUACUGGUGUGCAUCGGGUUAUGUUUACCCAUUGAUUUUUAUUAUUAUGUUUUCCGGUGGGUUUUUUGUGAAUAAACUGCGCCGUUGGAAACACA